rnacentral:rRNA from 1 species
AUGACCCCGCAGACAAGUCACGACGAGAGCCGGCGGACGGCAAUGGCGUCCUCCUCCUCCCCGGCGGCUCCGUUGCUCGUCCCUUGGCGAGAGGACCAGGACCGGGACGACGCGGCCGCUCGGAGCGACGGCGGGAGUCCGCGGGAGCAGGGGGUGAUGCAGAGCUGGGCGGAGGCGAUGCUGCUGUGCUGCGGCGACGCGGAGAGGCUGUGGCGCAGGGUGGUGCUGCGCAAGUGGCUGAACGUCGGCGCCGGCUCCGGCGACUCCGACUUCAGCGCCGACGAGGCCGAGGCCGAGGCCGAGGCCGAGGCAGACGACGAGGAGCCCGGCCACCAAGAGAAGUGCUGCUGUUGGGAACACAAACUGUAUGAUGAGGAAAGGAGAUCGCGUGGACUUGGUGCGGGCACGAUUGGUAAUCAGGUGAAGGCUGUGCCUGACAGACCUAAAAGGUGCAAUUCAGACACACUUCAUGCUCAGUAUAUCGAUGUCGCUGAACUCAGGAUUUUCGUAGGGACAUGGAAUGUUGGAGGCAGAGUUCCACCUACUGACUUAGACAUUCAAGAAUGGCUGGCCAUGGAGGAGCCAGCUGAUAUUUAUGUUCUCGGAUUUCAAGAAAUUGUCCCACUAAAUGCUGGGAAUAUAUUCGGUGCUGAAGAUGACCAUCCAGUUGCUGUCUGGGAACAUAUCAUUCGUGAAACUUUGAAUAAGCUAUGUCCAUAUAAACCAAAGCAUAAAUGUGUCAGUGAUCCUCCUUCACCAUCAAAGUUCAAUCCAUCAGAUUAUCUUGUGAUGGAAGAUGGCUUUCUUAGUGAGGCCGACAAUGAAAGUGAGGGGGAACUUCAUCCAUUGAUUGGACAAGACAUUAAUCCAGUUACUAAUGAUAGUGGCGUUUGUAAAACAUAUGAAUACCCCACCUCUGCUUCCAGUGAAAGAGUUCACGAAGGUGAAGACUUCAGGAAGAUGCUUCCAGUUCAUCUUCUUCAGGACAGCACAUCAGUUACUUCAGUGAAGACUCUAGCAGCUUCUGCGUCUUUUAAAUCGAGACAUGAGAAUUCUAAUGGUUUUCCAGAAGAUAAUCUAGACCAUGAUGUUAGUACCGAUAAUAGAGUCGUUAAGAGGAAAAAUUCAAAUUUUGUACGGAUAAUAAGCAAGCAAAUGGUGGGAAUAUAUCUUUCGGUGUGGGUUCAGAGAGGCCUUAGGAGGCACAUUCACAAUUUGAGAGUAUCAACUGUAGGUGUAGGCGCGAUGGGUUACAUCGGUAACAAGGGAUCAAUAUCAGUCAGCAUGUCUAUAUAUCAGACACCCUUUUGUUUUGUAUGUUGCCACCUGACAUCUGGUGAAAAGGAUGGAAAUCUAACAAAGAGAAAUGCAGAUGUUGAAGAAAUCCUUCGAAGAACGAUAUUUAACCCAGUUCAUAGAGUCAGCAUGCCUAAGGGAAUACAUGACCAUGAAAAGAUUAUAUGGUUUGGGGAUCUCAACUACCGAAUCAACCUAUCAUAUGAAAGAACACAUGAGCUUAUCUCCAGACAGGAAUGGGAUUUAUUGUUUGACAAUGAUCAGCUAAAAUGGGAACUGAUGAAAGGGCGUACAUUUGACGGUUGGAUCGAAGGGGUGAUUAGCUUCCCCCCAACAUAUAAAUACGAAUUUAAUUCAGAUAAGUAUGCGGGUGACGAGCCAAUAUCGGCGAGAAGAAGACCUGCAUGGUGCGAUCGGAUUCUUUCAUAUGGAAAGGGCAUCAGGUUGGAUUCUUACAGAAGGGCGGAGCUUAAUCUUUCGGAUCACCGCCCGGUGUGCGCGGUCUACAUGACCGAGGUUGAAGUUUUAUGCCACAGAAAGUUUCAGAAGGCUCUAACAUUCACCAAUCUAGAGGUCGAUGACCAUCUGUUCUUGGAGAGAUGA